rnacentral:rRNA from 1 species
UACGUAGGGUGCGAGCGUUAAUCGGAAUUACUGGGCGUAAAGCGUGCGCAGGCGGUUUUGUAAGCCGGAUGUGAAAUCCCCGGGCUUAACCUGGGAAUGGCAUUCGGGACUGCAAGGCUGGAGUGCGGCAGAGGAGACUGGAAUUCCUGGUGUAGCAGUGAAAUGCGCAGAUAUCAGGAAGAACACCUAUGGCGAAGGCAGCUCUCUGGGACGGUACUGACGCUGAGACGCGAAAGCGUGGGGAGCAAACAGG